rnacentral:rRNA from 1 species
AGAGGGUGCGAGCGUUAAUCGGAAUUACUGGGCGUAAAGCGAGUGUAGGUGGCUCAUUAAGUCACAUGUGAAAUCCCCGGGCUUAACCUGGGAACUGCAUGUGAUACUGGUGGUGCUAGAAUAUGUGAGAGGGAAGUAGAAUUCCAGGUGUAGCGGUGAAAUGCGUAGAGAUCUGGAGGAAUACCGAUGGCGAAGGCAGCUUCCUGGCAUAAUAUUGACACUGAGAUUCGAAAGCGUGGGUAGCAAACAGGAUUAGAUACCCUGGUAGUCCACGCCGUAAACGAUGUCUACUAGCCGUUGGGGUCCUUGAGACUUUAGUGGCGCAGUUAACGCGAUAAGUAGACCGCCUGGGGAGUACGGCCGCAAGGUUAAA